rnacentral:rRNA from 1 species
UGAUGGAGGGGGAUAACUACUGGAAACGGUAGCUAAUACCGCAUAACGUCGCAAGACCAAAGUGGGGGACCUUCGGGCCUCAUGCCAUCAGAUGUGCCCAGAUGGGAUUAGCUGGUAGGUGGGGUAAUGGCUCACCUAGGCGACGAUCCCUAGCUGGUCUGAGAGGAUGACCAGCCACACUGGAACUGAGACACGGUCCAGACUCCUACGGGAGGCAGCAGUGGGGAAUAUUGCACAAUGG